AUACGGAGGGAGCGAGCGUUGUUCGGAAUCACUGGGCGUAAAGCGCGCGUAGGCGGUAUAACAAGUCGGAAGUGAAAGCCCGGGGCUCAACCUCGGAAAUUGCUUUCGAAACUGUUGAACUAGAGUCCUGGAGAGGUAAGCGGAAUUCCGAGUGUAGAGGUGAAAUUCGUAGAUAUUCGGAGGAACACCAGUGGCGUAAGCGGCUUACUGGACAGGAACUGACGCUGAGGCACGAAAGCGUGGGGAGC
rnacentral:rRNA from 1 species